rnacentral:lncRNA from 1 species
GUUUGUAGAUCUUUCUUUACUGAACAUUCUUGUUGCUACAAAUAUUUCUCUCUAUAAUGAACUCAGCCCAGUAAUUACAGUGGAAAAUAUUUCCUAAAAACAUGACGAAAAAGUUGUUAACAAUUGACUAUAAAGGGCAGUAACUCCUUAAGGGGUCAAUUGAAAAUUUUGGUCAUGUUGACUUAUUUGUAGAUCUUAUUUUGCUGAACAUUAUUGCUGUUUACAGUUUAUCUCUAUCUAUAAUAAUAUUCAAGAUAAUAACCAAAAUCUGCAAAAUUUCCUUCAAAUUACUAAUUCAGGGGCAGCAAGCCAACAACAGGUUGUCUGAUUUGUCUGAAAAUUUCAGGGCAGAUAGAUCUUGACUUGAUAAACAAUUUUACCCAGUCAGAUUUGCUCUUAAUGCUUUGGUGUCAGAGAUAUAAGCCAAAAUCUACAUUUCCCCUUUAUGUUCUAUAUUUAGCCAUGGCAGCCAUCUUGG